CAGGCAACCUCAGGAAUAGAGGUGUGAACUGAGGAUGGAAUGCAUGAAAUAUCUGGGCAUAGAGAUUCAGGAAUAAAAUGUUUAUGAAACCAAUGUUUCUUAGGGAAAACCCCUACCUCCUCCCCGACCCCAAAUCUGAACACCUGAGUCAUACCAGCCCUGUAGGGGUGUCUACGAAAUGUGUAGUAAAAUUUCUGAAACCAGCUCCUCCUAUUAGACUAGAAAACGAACUGUUUUUAGGGGCACAGAAUUGAAGGCGUUUCUUAAUCAAAAUAAAGUAGAAAACUCAUCUAAUUCAGGUAGAAACCCAACAGUUAAAUACUCUUUUCCUUGUCUGCUUCCUUGGCUCUUUCCCGCCGCCCCUGUCCCCCCUGUCCCGCACACCUUGUUCCAGAAUAAGGUCAAUAAACAUACACAUGUGACCGCAGGGGGUGGGGGGAGGGGAGACCAAGUGGGGGUGGUGAAAUUCUGAAUGGAAUGCAGCCCCAGCUAGCUAGGGGGCUGGGACUGAGACUUCGGGCCCUGUCUGUGGACUUAUACAGGCAGAGAAGCCAAAACAAUGAGCUCAUGGGCAAGAAUGCAGCCUGUGGGGAAGUCUGGGCAGUCAGAGCAAACUAGUUUUUUGAACCAGGAUGCGAAUAGCUGUAACUGAGUCUCCCACGGGAACAGGAUUAGGGAGAGUGGAGCCAUCAUUCAGUAUCUUAGGGUCCAGUUAAAUAACUUUUGGGGGCUGUUCUUUAUUAAAUUCUGUUCUGCAGAGAGCAUAGCAGUCUCGGGUCCAUGUUCAAAAACCUGGUUCCUUUCCCUGACUAUGUGAACUUGGGUGGGUGAAGACGGCUGGUGAGAUGUGUGAGCGAACUUAGGUGAUGCUCUUAAGACAUCUUUAUUCAAAGCAGGUCUGCCAAUGCCAGCUCCUACACCAGGAUCCAGUGAUGGCUAUGAUCCUUAAGUUGUGUGUGUUCAGGGCUACCACUUUAACAAGACAGAGGAAACGGCCAAUAGUCUAUCUUCUUUACUUCCCAAAUAAACACAGUCCACCCAGCUGUAUUUAUACCAAAUUCAGACUUCUACGACCAAAGAGACAUCUUUUUUUUCCUACCAGUGUUUUCCAAUACUUUUAUAUAAGGCCCUAAAUGGAAUAAACUGAAGAGAUACUACCUUCACUGGCCAUGUAUGGUGAAGGGGAAGGAAGGCAGGGAGGGAAGAUGAAAUGAGAAGAAAAAAGAUUAUCUACACAUCUCCCCCUUCUCCUACCCCCCCACCAGAGGUUCUUUCUCAGCUCCAUGCUUUUGUGCAUGUUUCCUACUCAUGUUAAGGUCCAACCUCAAAUGUUUAUUUUGAAGCCUUCUUGACCACCUUCUACUUCCAGAAGUUGUCACCCUGCUUUGUCCCACCCCUUGUCCUAUAAUAUCUUUAUUAUUUUGUGUACUGUAUCCUAAUUAUUUUUGUCUGUUAUCACUCCUACUAGACUGUGAGCUUUAACUUUGUGCUACAAUUGCUUUCUUUCCAUGGAUUUGUUAUGCAUAAAUUCUUCAGAUGUAUUUCCUAAAAACGAGGACAUUUUCUUAUAUAACCACAAUAUAAUUAACACACUCAAGAAAUUUAACAUUGAUAGAGUACUAACAUAUUGCCCAUAUUAAAAUUUUCCCAAUUGUUCC
rnacentral:lncRNA from 1 species